GUACCGUUUAUUUUAAUAACAAACAUGUCGUCUUAGACAUUUUAUUUUUCAAGAAUCAUCAUAUUCCUAUGUAAUUGACAUUGGAUCUUUAUAUGGUGCAUCUCAUAGAAUAUACCAAAAGGAGUUUGUUCGAGAAAUUGUUGAAAUCUCUCUUGCCCAAGAACAGUCAAAAGAUCAGCAAACACAUUCAUGUUGGUACAUGAAGACCAAUGUGUGUGUUUCUUCCUUUCCU
rnacentral:lncRNA from 1 species